UGGGGAAUUUUGGACAAUGGGGGAAACCCUGAUCCAGCCAUCCCGCGUGUGCGACGAAGGCCUUCGGGUUGUAAAGCACUUUUGGCAGGAAAGAAACGUCAUGGGUUAAUACCCCGUGAAACUGACGGUACCUGCAGAAUAAGCACCGGCUAACUACGUGCCAGCAGCCGCGGUAAUACGUAGGGUGCAAGCGUUAAUCGGAAUUACUGGGCGUAAAGCGUGCGCAGGCGGUUCGGAAAGAAAGAUGUGAAAUCCCAGAGCUCAACUUUGGAACUGCAUUUUUAACUACCGGGCUAGAGUGUGUCAGAGGGAGGUGGAAUUCCGCGUGUAGCAGUGAAAUGCGUAGAUAUGCGGAGGAACACCGAUGGCGAAGGCAGCCUCCUGGGAUAACACUGACGCUCAUGCACGAAGGCGUGGGGAGCAAACAGG
rnacentral:rRNA from 1 species